UCCAGGGUAGCCUAGUGGACAUGGCAUCUGCCCGGUAAGCUGAACACUGUGGGUUCGAUUCCCAUCCCUGGAC